GACCGGCGCAAGGGUGCGUAACGCGUGAGCAACUUGCCCGCAACAGGAGGAUAACCCGGAGAAAUCCGGACUAAUAUUCCAUAGCAAACUAAGGAAGCAUUUCUUUAGUUUUAAAGCUUCGGUGGUUGCGGAUGGGCUCGCGUAACAUUAGCUAGUUGGUAGGGUAACGGCCUACCAAAGCGAUGAUGUUUAGGGGUUCUGAGAGGAAGAUCCCCCACACCGGAACUGAGACACGGUCCGGACUCCUACGGGAGGCAGCAGUGAGGAAUAUUGGACAAUGGGCGAAAGCCUGAUCCAGCCAUGCCGCGUGAAGGAAGAAGGUUCUAUGGAUUGUAAACUUCUUUUGAUAGAGAGCAAUAAGGGUUACGUGUAAUCUGAUGAGAGUAUCUAUCGAAUAAGCAUCGGCUAACUCCGUGCCAGCAGCCGCGGUAAUACGGAGGAUGCAAGCGUUAUCCGGAUUUAUUGGGUUUAAAGGGUGCGUAGGCGGUUUGGUAAGUCAGUGGUGAAAUUUUGCAGCUUAACUGUAAACUUGCCAUUGAUACUGUCAAGCUAGAAAUUAGAUGAAGUGGGUGGAAUGUGUGGUGUAGCGGUGAAAUGCAUAGAUAUCACACAGAAUAUCGAUAGCGAAGGCAACUCACUAAACUAUAUUUGACGCUGAGGCACGAAAGUGUGGGGAUCAAACAGGAUUAGAUACCCUGGUAGUCCACACUGUAAACGAUGAUAACUAGCUGUUUGCGAUAUACAGUAAGUGGCUAAGCGAAAGCGAUAAGUUAUCCACCUGGGGAGUAUGCCCGCAAGGGUGAAACUCAAAGG
rnacentral:rRNA from 1 species